rnacentral:rRNA from 1 species
AUUGAACGCUGGCGGCAUGCCUAACACAUGCAAGUCGAGCGGCUGCACGGGUCUUUCUCCUUGGUUCCGAGUGGCGCAGGUGUGUGUUGUCUAUCGAUAUGUCUCCUGUUGUGGGGUAUAGUCCGGCGAAAGCCGCUUUUAUACCGCAUACGCUCUGCGGGUAACAGGGGGGUCUUUUGGGCUCUCGCUCUCAGAUGUUCGUAGGUCGGAUUAGCUAGUUGUUGGGGUAAAGGCCUACCAAGGCGACGAUCAGUAACUGGUCUGAGAGGAUGAUCAGUCACACUGGAACUGAGACACGGCCCAGACUCCUACGGGAGGCAGCAGUGGGGAAUAUUGGACAAUGGGCGAAAGCCUGAUCCAGCAAUGCCGCGUGUGUGAAGAAGGUCUUCGGAUUGUAAAGCACUUUAGGUUGGGAAGAAAGGCAGGAAGCUAAUACGGUGCGGGGAUGACGGUACCAAAAGAAUAAGCACCGGCUAACUACGUG